ensembl:lncRNA
CGGCACGUCUGGUAGCAUCUCUGGCUGCUGUUGAUCUUGUUUUUGGAGUAAAACACGGUGGAAGCUGAAUUAGUGAGGAUGACUCCUGCUCCUGUCAUCUCUAAGCUCCUCACACAUCUUUACCUGCACAUGAGGAAAUCACUCCUGUAGAAUGCAGAUGUUCAGAGGGAGAUGAUGCCACAUCUGGUCCAGCUGAUGGAAGGUCUUGAAGUUCUCUGACUGGCCUCUACUGAAGAUGGUCGUCUCACUGGAUUUAAGAUGCACAAUGAGGGACGUCUGCAGAGACUGAGAAAGAGUCUCACCACAUCCUUACAUGAGGAAAAAGACUUUAUUGAAGACUACAAUGAGAAAAACUAUCAGACAGCAGACGGCAUGCAUUCAAGGCUACAGGAGGAGCCCUACGAGGACGAGCCUGUCCA